AGCCUCUCCAGCCCCGCUCUGGAGAGCCAGAGAGGGACUCCUUCCCCUGCCUAAAGAGCUAGGCCGUCGCAGUGGGCCCAGCCUCCUCCCGGACCUUUUGUUUUGGGAAGCGGCAGAGACUGCCAUUCAAGGCACACUCUUAGAUGCCAGGAGACAUCCACUUUGCCCGGACUGGCUGAGUCCCUGCUUCACAGAUCAGAAAAGAUCCCGGUCCAAAGUAACUCAGGAAGUGAGCACCAAACUUCAGCCUGGCCUAGGACGGUCCAGAGGUCCCGAUACCCCUGAUUUGCUUGGAGGAGAAGAGCCCAGAAGUGACAGGAUGCUUUGCCACCCUGAUCUAUGAUCCCGAGACACUCAUCCAUGCUGUUCCUCAGCUUCCUCAAGAAAGUGCGAGCCAGAGACACAGAUCAACACGCCUCAGCGGAACGUUAGAGACGUGGUGAACCUGGGGGGCGUUGGCUCACACCUGUCAUCCCAGGGCUUAGGACUGCUGUGAGUUCGAGGCCAGCUUGGGCUAUAUAUACAGUGAGUUCCAGUCUAGGCUACAGAGUGAGAGCCUGACUUCAAAAUAAAAGAGAACAGACACAGAGAGACAGAACUGCAGAGCCAUGGAGCCAGAGAAAAAGAAGCGUGUGUGUGUGUGUGUGUGUGUGUGUGUGUGUGUGUGUGUGCGUGUGGGUAGGGACAGAAAAGAUAGAGGGGAGGGAGAGGCAGAGAUGGAGCACACAGCAGAAAGAAGACAAACACAUUCAAGGCAGAAGGAGGCCCCAAGAACCACACAGACAGGCAACCUAGAGAUUCAGGAUCCCGAAAGAAACCCUAGAGAUGAGGUGCUAGGUGCUAAUUGUCAAGUCCCUCAGGGUUUGAGGGAGUCCCAGGAAGGUGGUAAUACUGCCUUCUGUCCCCAAUACUAAGGCACUGCAGGUGCCUGGUCCUCAGGCACCACUGUCAAGUAAGUCAGCCACUGGCCACUGGAACUGGUUGGUCCCCCAAGGUGAGUGAAGGGCACUGAAGAGGGCAGGGGGGCUGUGAGAGAGGGAGGGGCCUAGGAUGCACACUGUAGGGCAUCGGGUUAGGUGUGCAAGGGUAGGCACGUGAGACUUGGUGCCCAGGGAUGGCUUGUGAGCCAGGUGGCAUGCCGGGUAUAAGUACUCAAGUGUGGAUGGGUGUGUCCAUUUACAAAAACAGAACAAAAACAAACAAACAAAAAGAAACAAAAAAAAAAAAAAACUUGCAGUGUUAAGGAGACCAAAGUGACAGGUAGGUUGGUCCCCAAACAGCUCGGUAAGAAUCCUGAUUGAACAGAGCUGGUCACAACAAAAAGAGGUGACAAACCUUUGUUUUCUGGGCAGACAGGAUGUCUAGGUGCCACGGGGCACUCCACAGCAGCCUAGAACAACACGCGCCAUUCAUUCUCAUCAGGAAUGAUCCUAGACAUCAGCAAGCUGACCCCCAACCUCACGAAGAACCAGCCCCCCACUCCCCACUCCCCACCCCCCACCCCCCACCCUGGCUGUAGAUGUGAGAAAGCAUGGUGGGAAUGGGGUGAGGGGGCUAGGAAGCAUGCUGGAUAUUCAGCCUUCUCUUCCUCUGGUCUAGCUUUCAUCCCUCUUGCUGCUGCACGCAAGCCGAUUUCGUUCUUGCUCCUUGGGAACAGAAAGUCCUACAUCCUUGCCAUGCUGGGAAGAAAAACAAGCUCCCCUCGACUUUCCCUCCCACUCAAGUAUCACAGGACAUUAAAAAAAAUGUCCUAAUUUUGAGUUAGAGAAUGAGGUCAGGAGGCCCGGGGGUGGGGGGUGGGUGGGGGACGGGACUGCUUAUUGGUGACAACUGACAAUUUUCAUUUCACCUUGAAACUCCUUCCUUGUCUAGACAUAUGUGGCCCAAGCCCAGGUUUAUGAGCACUCUAACAGGGGAGAGAUGUAUAGGGAGGGAGUUCACCAAAUGGCACUUAUGGUCACAGACUUGUCUAGCCAGGUCCCCUGUCACCCAAGUGGGGUACAAAACAAAAGAACCACUAGGAGGCCACAGAAAUAAGUCUCAAUAUCUUAAAGUUUUAAUGGUAUGGUGGCAUGGGCCUCUGAUCCCAGUUGCAUGAGAAACUGAGGCAGGAGGAUUGCCUCACGUUUAAGGCCAGCCUGAGUAACUUUGUCAAACUUUGGCUCCCCAAAACAAACAAAACAAAACCCUCUGGGAUAUGACUCAGCUACAGACCACUGGCCUAGCACAGACAAAAUCCUGGGUUAAACCCCCAGUAAUGAAAAAAUAACAAUAAUAUAUAUUUUAUAAGAUCUGGUUAAUGAAAUGUCCAAUAAGGUCGCAUGUAUCCCAGGCUAGCCUCAAACUUUAUAUAACACAGGAAGAACUUACGAUGCCCCUGACUCCACCUCCCAAGCUCUGGGAUUAUAGGCACGGUCUGCCAUAUACCACACUUGGUUGUGUGCGGUGCUGGCGGCCUUGGGCAUGCUUGGUAAGCACUCUACCAACUGAGCUACAACCCCAGUCCCAUGUUCAAUAAAUCAUUUUCUAGCCUCCUGCCUUGACAAUUAUGCCUUCGUGACAACCUGGGAGAGCAGGCUGACAAUCAGAUUUCUCUGCUUCCGGUGAGGUGAGUUUCACAGCAGAAUAACAGUGUAGAGAGAUGGCUCCAUUCUCCGGGUUCAGCCACCCCUGCCCUUGCUACAUUCCUAUGGCCAGGUCAUGUCUGCACUGCAAGGACCGACCACUGGACACCGGACCUCGGCCUGCUUCCAGCCUGUAAAACAGCACACUAAGCAAGCAUUCUAGCGACUGAACUGUAUCUCCAGCCAUGAGAGAGUGGACCUGAUGCUUAGCCUGGUUGACUCUACACUUGAUGGAAAGCAGCCAGAGCAGAACGCUUGAAAGUACCCAGCCUAGGGCCUGUGCCCUGCUUCCCUUGCCUAGAUUUUAAGGGUACUCAUGGAUUGGCAGGCUUUGGUGGCCACCAGAACUAGAGCCAGGGCUUGAAGCUUUCCCUCCCUCCACUGGAGGGCAGCUCCCACAAUCUUCAGGCAGGAUUAUUUGUCAUCCUGGAAAAAUCCAGCCUAGUUUGAUCCCAAUUUGUGGAUUUCUGGAGGCGGGGAAGGCAGGGAGGUAACGCCCACAGGGAAUUUUUUGUCGAGUUGGGUAUCCAAGCCAGAGCUUGUUCCAUCUAGGCACAGCCCCAAGUGGGCCCCUGCCGCUCCCCGGAUCCUGCCUCGCCCAGCAGAUGUAAGUCCGACACAGCCAGGAGAAGAUCGGCUUUGCUGUCCUACCCAGGAGGGGACACUUAGACCUGUUGAGCCAUCACCAGGCGCCAGAGACCGGGCUAGAUGCUCUUCUGCGAAUUCUCAUUAAAUCCCUGCAGCUACCCUAUGAGGUCACUCCCGUAGCCCACGGCCACCAUACAGUUGAUGCAGAGAAGUUGCACGUGCUCCGGUAGGAACUGCCCCUGCUGGAUCUCCCGAUGGGCCGCGCGUGCUGCCCGCUUAACUAGAGAUGCUUGCUGCAAGUCCCGGAUCUGGAGAAGAGGGCGGGGGACAGGACUUGGACAUGGACACCAAGAGACCCAACCUCAGGAAAGUUCUCAGAGUUCCCAAAGACCCCAGAUCAUUUGUACCCGGACCCAGAAGGGACUUCUUGUUUGAGACAGGGUCUCUCACUGAACCUGAAGCUCCCUGACUCAGAUAAGCUGGCUGGCCAGCAAGCCCAGAAAUCCUCCUGUCUGUCUUCCCAGAGUUAACACAUUGCUGUACCCAGACUUUUACUGGACUGGGAAUUCAGGUCCUUGUGCUUGUGUUACCCUUGACUGACUGAGUCAUCUCCCCGUUCCUGUUAAUGUUGUGUUGUAUUCAUCCUUUAAAAAAUGUCAUGCAUAGCUUUU